rnacentral:lncRNA from 1 species
GUGGGGUGAAAAACGGAAAAGGAGGAGUCAAGAAGUGCAAGAAAAGUCUCCCUUUACCCAUGGUGUUUCGGAAAAAUGGAAACCCUCCAUAUUAAAAAAAGAAAAGAAAAGAAUGAAAAAGAAAAAUUGUGGAAUAAAAGUACAAAAGAAAUUGGGUUUCCAAGCAAUCCAUGGAGGUGAAUAAUAAGAUGACUUAGAAGCACUAGCAAAAUAAUUGAUAAAGGAAAAGAAGGGC